UCCUUGUUUCAGACAUUUCUGAGCCAGCAAUUAAUUUACGUCACAGAAACAAAAUCCAAUUCAGUGGUGUGCACGCGACACGCCUCUUGGUGGAAGAGAGUAAUCCUCUAGUUUUGUGGAGGCCUACGCGACUGUUAUGACCAUAAUUGUCGACCUGGAAAACACCUAGCCUUGUCAUGCUGUUGAGACAGAGACUGUGGAGGAUGUUCGAGCCCAGUGCUGGAAACUCUCUAUGUCGUUGCCAUCUGCAUUGGCUUUUUGCUGCCUGGGACGGAUGCUUGGUGGAACAGUUCUCAAUGUUACAGCAGGUGUUCCUGGAAGAUCGACCCGCAGGUGAACCUGUCGAGUUUGGGCUAGGCCUUUCUGGACCAUACCCUGGUUGAGUGCUCAUGGAAACGGUCCUCAGCAGUUCCAGAAGGAGAAACCGAGCAGAACGGGGGCGGAAGAUUCCAGAAGCUCUCCUGAGAACUCCGGAAAGUUCCGGAACAGGGCCUUUACGGAACAUCCUGUAAAGCAUUCCCGCAUCGGACCUUGUUGCCAGACGCAGUUAGUGGAGUCAAAUCCAAGGGCGUUCCGUCGAUUGCUGAUACCGGGGAAUCUGUGACCACAAGAGGGCGCAGCUAUUCCAAGAUGCUCGUGUUCUGUUAUGCGGUGCGUUGCGUGAUCUCGAUACUUAAGAAAGGAAAGCACGGCGUGAACAGCUUAUCCUUCUCGGGUGUCAAGAUGGAGGAGAUGGAGCUCACAGAAACGCACGUGCUCAAAGGUAAGGCAAACCAGACCACGUGCUGUCACAUUUAUCACACUGGCAAGCAAUGUAAUGACUCUGCAGAAUGACGCAAUCCAGGCAACUUCUGUAAAAACAACCAACGGCCGAUGGCAAGAUAAAAAAUGUAAUAAAAAAAUAAAUAAACAACUUGAA